rnacentral:rRNA from 1 species
CCCUUAGAUGUUCUGGGCCGCACACGCGCUGCACUGAAGGAGGCAGCGUGUACUCCUGGAUCGAAAGAUUUGGGUAACCCGCGAAUCUCCUUCGUGCUAGGGAUUGAGGUUUGCAAUUAUCCUUCAUGAACGAGGAAUUCCCAGUAAGUGCAAGUCAUAAGCUUGCGCUGACUACGUCCCUGCCCUUUGUACACACCGCCCGUCGCUACUACCGAUUGAAUGAUUUAGUGAGGACUUCGGACUGGGACCGAUGCGGCUUUCGGGCUGCGUCGGUAUUCUGGAAAGAUGUCCAAACUGUAUCAUUUAGAGGAAGUAAAAGUCGUAACA